rnacentral:lncRNA from 1 species
CAGAGGGAGGAGGUGGCAUUUACUGAGCACCUCCUGUUUAUAAGGAACUGUCUUCAAGUGUGCCAUGGGUACAGACAUAAAUUAGCACCGGAUAUUGCUGAUAAAGAGAGCACAGAUUCCAGAGAGCCAAGGCUGCCUCUCAAUGACUACAUGCCUUAGGUUCACCCUUCAACCUCUCUGAACUUCAGUUUUCUCAACAGGUAGAUGGACCAGGGUGCCCUCUAAGGAUCCCAAGGAAGGGCCUUAAAAGAUGAAGAGGAUGUUGACAGACAGUUACUGAGAAGGAAAAGAGGAGGGCAUCCUAUGCAGACAAAGAGGAGGGUUUCAAGGGAAGUCCUGACAUGUGUCUCCUUCCCUCGUCCCCUUGUUUGUGAAGCCGAAGGGUAAGUUCCUGAUCUUUAAGCGCCUGUCCACCUGUGACUUCUGGUCAAGGGAAGGGACAGAGGAGUUGGAAAGACUUCUUGAAGGAAGAAUGAAACAAACACCUGUGUUGUAGGAUCCACCAACUUUAAGAAAUGGAACCAUGUAAUUACCUUUAAAGUAUUCUAUAAUUUAUUUACACAUUAUUGUAUAUUUUGUUUACAACAUUCUACUGUUGAUGGACAUUUAAAUUAUUUCCCAUUGUCUCCAGGUUUAUUUGUUUUUCUGGCUUGGACAUCCAUAUGCAUACAUUUUUUCUUCUUCUUCUUCUUCUUCUUCUUCUUCUUCUUCUUCUUCUUCUUCUUCUUCUUUUCUUUUCUUCUCCUUCUCCUUCUCCUUCUCCUUCUCCUUCUCCUUCUUCUUCUUCUUCUUCUUCUUUUCUUCUUUUCUUCUUCUUCUCCUUCUCCUUCUCCUUCUCCUUCUCCUUCUUCUUCUUCCUCUUUCUUUUUUGUUUUUGAGACAGAGUCUGUCUCAAAAGACCCUGAGACUGUCACCCAGGCAGGGGUGCAGUGGCAUGAUCACAGCUCCUUGCAGCUUUGACCUUCUGGGUUCAAUCGCUCCUCCCCUCUCAGCCUCCUGAGUAGCUGAGACUGCAAGCAUGUACCACCAUGCCUGACUAAUUUUCGUAUCUUUUUGUAGAGGCGAGAUUUUGCCACGUUGCCCAGGCUGGUUUUGAACUCCUGGGAUCAAGCAAUCCUCCCGCCUCAGCCUCCUAAAGUUCUGAGAUUACAGGCAUAAGCCACUAUAACCAGCCAUGCAUGCAUUUCUGUCAAUUACAUACCCAGGGAUGAAACUCUUGGAUUGUAGAGGGUGUACAUUUCCAACUUUAUAGAUCAUCACGAUUUGUUAUCCAAAGAGGUUGCACUAAUUUAAACUCGUGUCAAAAGUAUGUGAGUUCCUAUUGUUACAGGUAGCUAGUCAGGCAUGAGCAGGGCAGGAGAGGGCUCGACCCCCACCCCCCCACCAGUAAUGUCACCAACCAUCAGGCAAUUGUUAAACUGUCUCUAAUAAUGGGUCGCAGCCUGCACCAGGGAAAGGCCGUCUCCUAAUAGAUAGAACAAACUUGAAACUGGUGAUCAGCAGCUUCCCGAUAAGAUCUCAGGAGUUGGGUGAGUGGGCUCAAGCAUGCACACUAAGAGGCAAAAUGGUGGAGUUUAACUUCUAGGGACAUUCACCUGGUAGGGGAAGAAUGCCUCAAGUGAGCAUGCACACAACUCCAGUAAACACACUGCGUGCUCACCGCCCAACUGCUAGCAGACCACUGCACACGUGGACAGACCACUGCACACGUGGACAGCCCACUCCCAGGGAAGAAUCAGGGGAGAAGGGAUGUACAACCCUGGAACUAUGUCAACAGAUAAAACCCCAAGUCAAAGGUCAAACAGUGCACUUGAUCUCUCAAGUCGCCCCCUGGCCCUUUUCCAAGUGUACUUUACUUCCUCUUAGUCCUGCUCUAAAGUUUGUUGUUGUUGUUGUUGUUGUUGUUGUUGUUUUGAGAGGGAGUCUUGCUCUGUUGCCCAGGCUGGAGUGCAGCGGUGCAAUCUCAGCUCACUGCGAACUCUGCCUCCCGUGUUCAAGUGAUUCUCCUGCCUCAGCCUCAUGAGCAGCUGGGAUUACAGGUACCUGCCACCAUGCCCAGCUAAUUUUUUUUUUUUUUGUAUUUUUAGUUGAGAUGGGGUUUCACCAUGUUGGCCAGACUGGUCUCAAACUCCUGACUUAUGUGAUCUGCUCGCCUCGGCCUCCCAAAGUGCUAGGAUUACAGGCAUGUGCCACCGAGCCUGGCCUAGUUUUUUAAUAAACUUUCACUUCUGCUCUAAAACUUGCCUUGGUCUCUCAUUCUGCCGUAUUAUGCUGUUGGUCAAAUUCUUUCUGCUGAGGAGGCAAGAAUUGAGGUUGCUGCAGCCCCCUAGGGAUUUGCCACCAGUAACACUAUGAUUCACUGGAAAGGCUUGAAAUUGUCAGAUUUUUAAAGGUUUGCUAAUACAGUGGGGUAAAAUGGUGUCUUACUGAGUUUUCACUUAUUUUUAAUACAGAUGAAUUAAUGUAUGGGGCAGGGGAGAGUCAGUGAUUUCCCAGCCUCCCAAUGGGGUAUAGAAGCUGACAUACCAUUUUUCACAGGGUAAGGAGGAGAUAGGGAAUGUAGACAAUUCUUUUGAGGGGCAGCAAGUGAUGGUUAGGGAGAAUGAUCAACCCAGGAGACAGAAAUUAACUGUAAAUGAUUCGCUUUGGAAUUGGAGCCUGAGAGGCAGGCAUUAUGUUAUGGAAAAGACCAUCCAUCCAUGUGUGGUUGCAUUCUUCACUCUUCUUUUCAUUUCCCAGCUUCUAGGAUGUCCCAGUGUCUUCCCUGUGGAUCUCCCAGUACCUGCAGGUCACAGAGUAACACAGGCUGUGGCAGAGUCACCUGGGCCUCCCAGAGCAGGGAAGACUAAGCACUGGACACCAAAUUUUUCCACAAUUAAAAAUACACAUGGCCGGGUGCGGUGGUUCACGCCUGUAAUCCCAACACUUUGGGAUGCUAAGAUGGGCGGAUCACAUGAGUUCAGGAGUUUGAGACCAGCCUGGCCAACAUAGUGAAACCCUGUCUCUACUAAAAAUACAAAAAUUAGCUUAGUGUGGUAGCAUACACCUGUAAUCUCAGCUACUCGGGAGGCUGAGGCAAGAGAGUCACUUGAACCCAGGAAGCGGAGAUUGCAGUGAGUCGAGAUCACGCCACUGCACUCUCCAGCCUGGGCCACAGAGCAAGACUCCAUCUCAAAAAAAUAAAUAAGUAAAAUAAAGAAAAAAAUACACAUGUAUUCAUACAAGUGUUGAUAUUUUGAGUUUUUUUUGUGAAAAUAUGUUUAUUUCAUUUGUCUCUUUUUCUAUUAUCUUUUUUCUUAUUAAUAUGUAAGAUUUAAAAUAUAUAUUCUUUGCCAGACGCAGUGGCUCAUACCUGUAAUCCCAGCACUUUGGGAGGCUGAGGCGAGAGGAUCAUUUGAACCCAGGAGUCCGAGACUAGCCUGGGCAACAUAGUGGGACCCACGUCUCUACAAAAAAUAGAAAAAUUAGCUGAGCGUGUGUCAUGUGCCUGUAGUCCCCGCUACUUGGGAGGCGGAGGUUGGAGGAUCACUUGAGCCUAGGAGGUCAAAACCACAGUGAGCUACGAUUGCACUACUACAGUCCAGCACGGGUGACAGAGUGAGACAUCAUCUCUAAAUAAAUUAAUUAAAUAUAUAUCCUAGAAACAACUCCCUUAUCAAUUAUGUGUAUUGUAAAUCUUACAUCCCAUUCUGUAGCUUGCCCUUUUACCUUCUUAUAGUGUCAUUUGAAGAAUAGAAGUUUUUAAUUAUAAUAUAACUGUGGUAGGCAGAAUUCUCACGACCCUCACCCUUUUAAGAUGCCCCCCUGAAGAGUGGACAGAACCUGUGAAUAUAGCAGGAUGUCACUUCUGUGAUCAUGCUGCAUAUAUGGCAAAAGAAAUUUUGCAGGUGUAACUAGGAUUACUAAUUGGUUGCAUAUGAGUUAAUCAAGAGGGAGAUUAUCUAGGUGGGCCCAACCUCAUCACAUGAUCCCUUCAAUCUGGGGUCUAGGGACCAGAGACAGAAAACUUCAGAGAGUGUCAAAUUGCAGGAAAAACUUGGCAAGCAAAUCUGGCUGGUGUUUUUAGUUGUUUGUUUGUUUGUUUGUUUGUUUUUAAGACAGGGUCUCACUCUGUGGCCCAGGCUGGAGUGCACUGGUGCAAUCUCCACUCACUGCAACCUCUGCCUCCCAGGUUCAAGUGAUUCUCGUGCCUCAGCCUCCUGCAUAGCUGGGACUAUAGGCACGUACCACCACUCCCAGCUAAUUUUUGUAUUUUUUUGUAGAGACAGAGUUUCGCCAUGUUGGCUAGGCUGGUCUCAAACUCCUGACCUCAAGUGAUCCACAGGCCUUGGCCUCCCAAAGUGCUGGGAUUACAGGCAGUGAGUGAGUCACUGUGCCUGGCCAAGGCUGACUUUGAAGAUGGAGGAGGCUACGUGCAGAUGCCCUCCAGGAACUAAGAGCAGGUCCUGCCUGAUAGCCGACAAGGACCUAGACAAGGACCCCGAGACCUCCAUCCUACAACUUUAGGGAGAUGAACCUGUCACAAGCAUGUGAGCGUGAAAGAGGACUCAGGGCUCCAGGUGAGAACACAGCCCUGCUGGCACCUUGAUUGAAGCUGGCAAGACCCCAAGUGGAAAGCUCAGCCACACCACGCCUGGGCCUCUGGCCUACAGAUCCACAAGCUAACAGUUGGCUUUAAGCUGCUAAAUUUGAGGAUUGGUUGUGUAGCACUGGCAAACAAACAUAGUAGUUGUAUUCAUCAGCAUUUUUCUGUAUUUAUUUCACCUUCUGAGCUUAAAAAAAUCAUUCUUGGAAGGCUGGGCGCAGUGGCUCAUGCCUGUAAUCCCAGCACUUUGGGAGGCUGAGCUGGGUGUAUCACUUGAGGUCAGGAGUUCAAGACCAGCCUGGCCAACAUGGUGAAACCCCAUCUCCACUAAAAAUACAAAAAUUGGCCAGGUAUGGUGGUGGGUGCCUGUAAUCC